rnacentral:rRNA from 1 species
CUGUGGUAUUCUAGAGCUAAUACAUGCUAAAAACCUCGACUUCGGAAGGGGUGUAUUUAUUAGAUAAAAAACCAAUGCCCUUCGGGGCUCCUUGGUGAUUCAUAAUAACUUAACGAAUCGCAUGGCCUUGCGCCGGCGAUGGUUCAUUCAAAUUUCUGCCCUAUCAACUUUCGAUGGUAGGAUAGUGGUACGUCCUUAUUUCUUUUCUGAUUUGUGGAAUUCAUGUGCUGACUUCGUCUACUGUAGGCCUACCAUGGUUUCUACGGGUAACGGGGAAUUAGGGUUCUAUUCCGGAGAGGGAGCCUGAGAAACGGCUACCACAUCCAAGGAAGGCAGCAGGCGCGCAAAUUACCCAAUCCCGACACGGGGAGGUAGUAAGUUUUUUAUCUUCUCAAUUAGAGAAAUUGGGAGUGCUAACGUUCCACCUCCAGGCGACAAGAAAUACUGAUGCAGAGCUCUUUUGGGUUUUGCAAUUGGAAUGAGUACAAUUUAAACCCCUUAAAACGUUGGGGGGUUCUUCCAGUCAUUAGGUGCUAAUGGCAACGCCCUCUCUGUCCGAAGAUUGCCCCCACAGGCAAGAUCCGGAGCUCGACUUCUUUCGGGCCCAGAGACUACAUUAGGGUGGGUGGCUUAGCGCCAUUUACGGUAUAGUCCAACCCUCAGGCUUGUCGCUCGAGGUUAUUGUGUAACGAGGAACAAUUGGAGGGCAAGUCUGGUGGACCUAGUCCCGUGCUGGCACCAGAAAUUGAGAGCAAGGCAGCCUAACAGGCACGUCUGCUCCAGUCGCUUCUCGGCGGCAAGGCACUUGGUACGGGGAAAGUUCUGGGGUGUCCAGCCCUGACAAUCCCGCGGCGAGUGGGAAUUUGACUCCACCGUUGUAACGCGCGCAAAAGUGUCGGCUACCCUCCCCCGUGGUAGUCCAAGGGACGCGCUAUUUUCCAUUCAAAUGAAUGUUUUGAUUGGUAGUCAAUCAAUUAAAUCAGGCCAGCAGCCGCGGUAAUUCCAGCUCCAAUAGCGUAUAUUAAAGUUGUUGCAGUUAAAAAGCUCGUAGUUGAAACUUGGGCCUGGCUGGCCGGUCCGCCUCACCGCGUGCACUGGUCCGGCCGGGCCUUUCCUUCUGGGGAGCCGCAUGCCCUUCAUUGGGUGUGCCGGGGAACCAGGACUUUUACUUUGAAAAAAUUAGAGUGUUCAAAGCAGGCCUAUGCUCGAAUACAUUAGCAUGGAAUAAUAGAAUAGGACGUGUGGUUCUAUUUUGUUGGUUUCUAGGACCGCCGUAAUGAUUAAUAGGGAUAGUCGGGGGCAUCAGUAUUCAGCUGUCAGAGGUGAAAUUCUUGGAUUUGCUGAAGACUAACUACUGCGAAAGCAUUUGCCAAGGAUGUUUUCAUUAAUCAGUGAACGAAAGUUAGGGGAUCGAAGACGAUCGAGCAGCGCCCUAGAGGCAUGCUGGCACUUUAGGUGUCUGGUCGUCCAUAGCAGCAACUCUAGUCGGGGUGCCUUUGGGCGCUCUGGCGACACCAUUCAACUGUAAUGGAGCCCCUGGGCCGUUCGCCUAGGUGAUCCACAGCCAAGUGCCCCCCCGAGUUCCGGGGGGCAUGCAGUUUACAGACUGAGUAACGGUGGGCCCUUCGGGGUUUUUGAUAUAGUCGGUCCCGCGCGAUAGCGCCCCGGACGCAACGCAGAUACCGUCGUAGUCUUAACCAUAAACUAUGCCGACUAGGGAUCGGACGAUGAUAUUUAUUUGUCUCGUUCGGCACCUUACGAGAAAUCAAAGUUUUUGGGUUCUGGGGGGAGUAUGGUCGCAAGGCUGAAACUUAAAGACAUUGACGGAAGGGCACCACCAGGCGUGGAGCCUGCGGCUUAAUUUGACUCAACACGGGGAAACUCACCGGGUCCGGACAAAACAAGGAUUGACAGAUUGAGAGCUCUUUCUUGAUUUUUUGGUUGGUGGUGCAUGGCCGUUUUUAGUUGGUGGAGUGAUUUGUCUGCUUAAUUGCGAUAACGAACGAGACCUUAACCUGCUAAAUAGCCCGGUCAGCUUUGGCUGGCCGCCGGCUUCUUAGAGGGACUAUCGGCUCAAGCCGAUGGAAGUUUGAGGCAAAAACAGGUCUAGAAAAUUGCUAGCAACCUUUACACAGGCCUGUUUGUAACUGCGUGCUGCCGCUACGGUAACACGAUUUGUGGCUUGGUGGCUCCUGCCGCCGAGUCAACACCGCUGGUACAGAGAAUGUGCUCUUCAAACGAAGGCGCUGAUUCUGUAACGAAUCCUUUCCACGGAUCGUUUCAACGCAUGCAAAGCGGUGGGCUUGGAAACGAGUUUUAGGUACAUGCUGUGUCCCCGCGAGAAGCGGAGGAAGCAAACACGCUGUGAUGCCCUUAGAUGUUCCGGGCCGCACGGUUAGUACUAAAUUCAUCAUCUUUUUUCGAUCAUUCAGCUAACGUUUUUUAGCGCGCUACACUGACAGAGACAACGAGUAAAUCACCUUGACCGAAAGGUUUGGGUAAUCUUGUUAAACUCUGUCGUGCUGGGGAUAGAGCAUUGCAAUUAUUGCUCUUCAACGAGGAAUGCCUAGUAAGCGCAAGUCAUCAGCUUGCGUUGAUUACGUCCCUGCCCUUUGUACACACCGCCCGUCGCUACUACCGAUUGAAUGGCUCAGUGAGGCCUUCGGACUGGCUCAGGGAGGUCGGCAACGACCACCCAGAGCCGGAAAGUGUGGUCAAACUUGGUCAUUUAGAGGAA